rnacentral:rRNA from 1 species
GACGAACGCUGGCGGCGUGCUUAACACAUGCAAGUCGAACGAAGUGGCGAACGGGUGAGUAACGCGUAAUCAACCUGCCCUUCAGAGGGGGACAACAGUUGAAAACGACUGCUAAUACCGCAUACUGAAGGUGGGGAUUGCGUCUGAUUAGCUAGUUGGGGGGGUAACGGCCCAACAAGGCGAUGACCAGUAGCCGGUCUGAGAGGGGGAACGGGCACAGUGGGACUGAGAAAACGCCCAGACUCCUGAGGGAGGGAGCCGUGGGGAAUCUUCCGCAAUGGAGGAAAGUCUGGCGGAGGAAAGCCGCGGGAGUGAUGACGGCCUUCGGGUUGUAAAGCUCUGUUAAUCGGGACGCGGUACCGGAAUAGAAAGCCACGGCUAACUACGUGCCAGCAGCCGCGGUAAUAC